UCCUCACAAAGAUAGAUGUUCAAGUAUAGAUGUUUAUGUGUGUAUGUUUGUACUUGUGCAUCUAUCUUUGUGGGGACU